GUGUGGACGGGAUAAGUGCUGAAAGCAUCUAAGCAUGAAGCCCCCCUCAAGAUGAGAUUUCCCAUAGUGCAAGCUAGUAAGAUCCCUGAAAGAUGAUCAGGUUGAUAGGUCAGAGGUGGAAGCACGGUGACGUGUGUAGCUGACUGAUACUAAUCGAUCGAGGACUUAACCAAAUU
rnacentral:rRNA from 1 species